UUACGGCCACAUCACGUUGAAGCACCGGUUCCCGUACGAUCACCCAAGUUAAGCAACGUUAAGAAUGAUCAGUACCUAGAUAGGUGACCGCUUGGGUAUACCAGAUGCUGUAA
rnacentral:rRNA from 1 species